UUUAAUUGUGUGAUCUUUUUAUUGUGCCUUUCGUGACUCAGCAUCUCCGCUAUAUGAUGCCAGCAUAAAUGUUUUAAGAAGUUUUCAGUUGCUGAGAAGGAAAUAUUGUUGACAGAAUUCAACAACGCCUAACAAAGAUGGACCGGGGGGUACUUGGGUGCCCAAACUCUUUCCUUUAUAGCAAGAGAAAGGAGACUGCACCCAAAUUCCAUUACUAACUGUGGGAGGACAACAAAAUUAUUAUUGUAAGGUUAAAGUUGCCUUCAAGGAAACUAUAUUAUGCAAUAAAAACUCUAUUGCACUCCAUGUUAAAAAAAAGGUCAAGUGGAGAGACUGUGCCAUCUAAAUUCAAGGAGGAGUUCCAGAAAGUGCUAAUGUCAUGACAGCUGAACUCAUACAGUAUUGUCCAGUAAAGGUAGCACAUUAUAAACAUUGUGGUAGGAAGAAGAGAUAUCUCUAAGUUCUUUAUCUGUGAAGCUUAUGUGGAAAACAAAAAGAAACCAUAAUGUAAAUAAUUUACAGAUCUCAAAGUAACAUUGCUGACCCAGGAUUGUUCACGGAACAUGGAAAAAAUAAAUAAAUCAU